rnacentral:rRNA from 1 species
GAUGAACGCUGGCGGCGUGCCUAAUACAUGCAAGUCGAGCGAACAGACGAGGAGCUUGCUCCUCUGACGUUAGCGGAGGACGGGUGAGAAACACGUGGAUAACCCACCUAUAAGACUGGGAUCACUUCGGGAAACCGGAGAUAAUACCGGAUAAUAUAUUGAACCGCAUGGUUGAAUAGUGAAAGACGGUUUUGCUGUCUGUUCUAGCUGGAUCCGCGCCGCAUUAGCUAGUUGGUAAGGUCACGGCUUACCAAGGCAACGAUGCGUAGCCGACCUGAUAGGGUGAUCGGCGACAUGGGAGCGUGGACGGGGUCAAGACGCCUACGAGAGGCAGCAGUAGGGAAUCUUCCGCAAUGGGCGAAAGCCUUACGGAGCAGCGCCGCGUGAGUGAUGGAGGUCUUCGGAUCGUAAAACUCUGUUAUGAGGGAAGAACAAAUGUGUAAGUAACUAUGCACGUCUUGACGGUACCUAGUCAGAAAGCCACGGCUAACUACGUG